GUGAAGAACGUAGCGAAAUGCGAUAAGUAAUGUGAAUUGCAGAAUUCAGUGAAUCAUCGAAUCUUUGAACGCACAUUGCGCCCCUUGGUAUUCCGAGGGGCAUGCCUAUUCGAGCGUCAUUAUCACCCCUCAAGCCUAGCUUGGUGUUGAGGCCUGCUGUCAAGGCAGCCUCUAAAAUCAGUGGCAGUGCUGUCAGGCUCUAAGCGUAGUAAAUCUAAUCGCUAUAGACACCUGGUGGACACUCGCCAGAACCCCCCCCCAUUUUUUAAUGAUUGACCUCGGAUUAGGUAGGGAUACCCGCUGAACUUAAGCAUAUCAAUAAGCGGAGGA
rnacentral:misc_RNA from 1 species